AAAAAUUUGUGACGGACACAACCGUCACAUAAUAAAGAACUGAGACGGUCCGUCACAAUUCCGUCAUAAAUUUGUGGCGGAAUUUGUGACGGAUGUGUAAUAUUACUCCCUAAAUACAGAAUGUAGUGUCGUAUCCUAAUUUAGAUCGUUUUAUCAAAAAUACAUCACCCUUCUCUUUGAAACAAAUCCCUAACACCUCCUCCUUCAUCGCUGCUUUAACUCAACAGAUCCCUAACGCUAUUCCUAAAUUAGAUUGCUUUAUCAAAAAUCCAUAACCCUUGUUUCAAAACAUGUCGCUCAUUUUUGUUGUUUAGAGAUAAUAAUCAGAAGCAAGCAUAAUCACCGAACAUGGUCUUCACUGUUCAUUGGCCUUCUUCUUAUUGUUCUCGCAGCCAAGAUCGCAGAUCUCCAGAAUGAGCUCACUCGUUUCUCUAAUUGAAGCUGUUGAAGAGAAGUAGCACUUCUGUUCAAUGUCUUUGUAUGUCCUUCCUUCUGAUUGUUGAUAUUCUAUCUAAAUGGUAUAGUGAUGGAAACCGUUUAGGGUUUUUUUUAAUUUCUGGUCCUUGCAAUUUUGACUGCCAAAUUCACUAAUUGAGCAAAUUUUAAUAGUUAGUUUGAUAUUUAUACACCCUCUCCUUCUAAUGCCCAACGCUCACCUGGAGCAAGUGGAGAAAAGAUUACUUUAAAUAGACAGGUCUCUACUAACAGAAUGUAUGGUGUGGGUGUGGAGUGAUCCAAAUACUCUGGUAUAUUGUGCAUGGCCUUAACUUCCAUAAUCUACAAUCUUUUGGAAUUUCUUUCGGAUUCUUUGACUAGCAUUCAAAGGUAGAGUUGUUGGCGUUCAAGUUAUUGCAGCUGACAGAAAGGGUGCAGGUGAUGCUUUUGUUGGAGGAUAUUGAAUAAAUUGGCCUCGGACCUCCAUCUCUUUAAAUAUUAGGCUGCUGAUCUUGUUUUUUUGUCUUGAGGAAGUGAAUGAUGCCGGCCAAACCAUAAAAUCGAGGACCUUGGGUGUCCGGUGAUAUUUCAAUGGAAAGGUCAAAUUGAUUUGCUGCACAACAUCAUACAAUUUCUACCGUCGAACGUAUGGAAAAAUACGUGAACAAGUCAAAUAGUUGAUAAACAUAGCAAGAUUUUUGUUGUAUACAUAAUCGAUGUUAGUUCACAUGGAUGAAAAAUCUUGCAUAAUUUAUUGUCCCCAACAUUUUUUUUUUAGUUCAAUAAACUGGUUGUAGGGCCAAUGCUGUAAUGGUUACAAUGUGUUUAUAUAUUUGUAAAACAAUAGUAUUUAUAAUUAAAAUAUUUUUAAAUUGA